rnacentral:rRNA from 1 species
AUACGGGGGAUACGAGCGUUAUCCGGAUUUAUUGGGUUUAAAGGGUGCGCAGGCGGACCGGUAAGUCAGGGGUGAAAAGUCGGGGCUCAACUCCGAUCGUGCCUUUGAUACUGCCGGACUGGAGUGCGAUAGGCGUGGCCGGAAUGUGGGGUGUAGCGGUGAAAUGCUUAGAUAUGCCACAGAACACCGAUCGAGAAGUCAGGUCACGAGUUCGCAACUGACGCUCAUGCACGAAAGCGUGGGGAUCAAACAGGAUUAGAUACCCUGGUAGUCCACGCUGUAAACGAUGAUCACUCGUUGUUGGGGGGUGACCCUCGGCGGCCAAGCGAAAGCGAUAAGUGAUCCACCUGGGGAGUACGAUCGCAAGGUUGAAACUCAAAUGAAUUGACGGGG